AUUAAUAACAGGGACUCUUCCUAUUCAAACGCAGUCUCCAGACCGUCACAGAGCUGUUGUGUUUCAGCAGAGGCCUGAAGAGUGGACACAGAUAAACCUCAUCUUACUUGAAGUUUAAGCAGAAUUUCCAAAUGUCUUUAAAAACAUAGAUGUUUUUCUUUUUUUUUCUUCUACUGAGUGUCAUCUGUUUUUGCCUCGGUUGCUGUUUCCCCACUUUUUCUGUGUAUGGGACCCAGACUCAUGCCAGAGAGUUGUGUUUUUUGGCAGGGAGGACGGGGUGACGUCGACAGGCGUGGUAAUAACAAUGAGAACACUAUUAAGUCCAGACUACGCGGGGUCUCGGAGAAAGAGAGAGAAGGAGAGGAAAAAAAUGUGGGGUGUGCCCUUAAAAUAUUAAAUUUAUGUAUUGAAACUCUCAUACCUGAGGUGGUAAAAAACUUUCACUCGAACUGAAACAAAUGCGACCACACUUUAUGGCAUUGGAGUUUCCUGUGAGUCGGGGAGUGCGCACAGAGAAUCCGAGCAGUACAGUACAUAGGAAAUGACUCAUAGGAGUGGAGCUGUUAGCGUGGGUGUGUGCGCGCUAUUAAAACAAGGCGCAGACUCCUCCGUAUGACUCACUCUGAUGCUCGCUUUUCCAUGCUGAAAACCAGCACGGACUGUUAAUCAGAUGAACUUUCGGGAAUUGUGUAGCCGACAGCGAGCAGCUUUCCCUCCGCAGAUAUCAUGGCUUUAAACGCUCUUUGCGCGCUCUGCGGACUUAUUAUUGCGGCGGUGACCACUUUCCAUGGUGUGAGCGCGCAGAAAAGUCAGUGUCGGAGCUCGGAGUUCUGGAGCUCAGACUAUGAUGGUUGCUUGCCCUGUGAAUCAUGCAAGCAGUACCCGAAAACCCCGUCCUGCAACACAUGCAAAUCAGUGGAUGAGACACCCGACGUCUGGAAACUGGCAGCAAUCACCAGCUUCUCAGUACUGGCUGUGGUGCUGGUCAGCGCUGCACUGAUCAUCGGGGUCAUGGUGCAUCGACGCAAGUCGCACAAACGGCCUUUACGUGAACCUAUCGAAGAAACUGCGGGGCCACUUUAUCAAGCUUAAACCACUCACCUCAUCUUCCUCUGAAAACUGAUGUAACAGAACCAAGGAGCCACUGGUUACUAGCCGGGCGGAGGAAACCUCUGAACGGCGAACCGUGUACUCUGACUGCAGGGUAUACCUCGACCAGAAAUGGACCUUCUUUUUUUUUUUUUUAUUUAUUAGACUGUUUGGUGAAGAGAUAAGCUCAGUUCUCAUGCUUGGUGUAGGUCCAGUGGUUAAAACAGGACUUGCAAUGAGCAAAUCUCACACCUCUGUAGGUAUAUUAACAGCAUUAUACUAGUGGUAUCAUCUUUUAGAACUUGUGUGCCUUCAUAUUCCACUCCGUUGAGAUUUUGAUCUGGAUCAUUGGGGGGGGGUUAGGCAGGUUUGACUGAGAAUUAACCGUAAAACUAGAGUCUGCACGCCUGCAUUGCGUUGUGCUGUUUUCAGCAGGACUCCAGUGAAUGUAACACAGCUACAUCCGCCAGCUGGGCCACAGUUUGAUCCCCCCUGCUGUUCAGCGGGGUAACACAGGGCCUCUCUGUUGGUCAUUUACCACAACAGCCUCUGAAAGAUAGAUCACAUGUGAGUAACACAUACUGUUUGGCACAUUAAGGCCAUAUGAAUGUAGCUACCUUUUAAAAAAUCUUUUUAGGUGAAUUGUACUCCAACCUUUGUUCCUGCCAGUACCUGUUCUUGUAGUUGCCUGACGCAGUGAGAACGCUGUUGAGUAAAGGAGCAAACUGUACUCAUGCACUGUUACUGGGUCUCCUGAGACCAACACAGACCAUUUAUUGCAGGUCACUAAAAUAUUGUCUUGUCUGUUUUUUUUUCUUUUAUUUCAUUUAGAGUUUAGAUGUCAUUUUUGCCUAAAACAAACCCUGAAUUCACAUGACUGUUGCAGCAGCGCUUUGUAACCCAGGAUGCUUGAAACACUAGACGUACAGCCCCAAACUGCUAACAUGUGAGAAUGUUGUGAGGAAUGUACUGCAGAGAGGAAAACUAACUACACCUACAGUGUUUUAAACGGAGCUUCAGCAAUCACAGCGCUUUUCAGAUCUGCAGCAAGGCAAAAAAAAAAAAAAAUGGUUGCAACUGCAGUGGUCUGUAAUUUUGUUGCCGCUGAAGCCAACACGAACCACAGUGGACAGGGUUGUUGUUUUCAGCUUUUUUUUAAAUGUUUUUUUUCUCUUACCAACAUUGAACACGAUUCUUGUGAAUCCUUGUGAUAAUUUGGCACCGACAAUGAUUCAGGUCACGGAUCUGUCUGCUUGUGGGUGAACUGCUUGCCCUCUGGCAACAAAAUUGGGGAACCAUUUAACAUACAUUUUAUUGUCUGUUUUUGUUUCUUUUUUUAAUUUUUUAAAAGAGGUCUAUAUUAUUUAUUUUAGUAUGUUGAGCUGUUGUAAUGCAACGAGUGUGACAGACAAGCACAGUUUUAAAGGGACACCAGUGAAGAUUUUUUCAAAACGUCCACCAGGCCAGCUAUUACUGAACAAUAUCUUAACAUUUUCUACUUGUUUCUCUUGCCUUCUAGUUCUUCUUGUAUAUAAUGUAAAUGCACUGGCUUUUACUUAAUGCAAUCUUUAUAAACUGCUUUUUGUGUAGCAAAUGUAUUUUCACAAUAAAACUGACAAUUUCCAU
ensembl:lncRNA